rnacentral:rRNA from 1 species
CCUACGGGAGGCUGCAGUCGGGAAUUUUGGGCAAUGGGCGCAAGCCUGACCCAGCAACGCCGCGUGAAGGAUGAAAUCCUUCGGGAUGUAAACUUCACAAGAACGGGAAGAAUAAGCGUAGGUUAAUACCCUGCGUGAUGACGGUACUGUUUGUAAGCUCCGGCUAACUCCGUGCCAGCAGCCGCGGUAAUACGGGGGGAGCAAGCGUUGUUCGGAUUUACUGGGCGUAAAGGGCGCGUAGGCGGUCACUACAAGUCACUUGUGAAAUCUCUGGG